UACGUAGGUGGCAAGCGUUGUCCGGAUUUACUGGGCGUAAAGAGCGCGCAGGCGGUCGUUCAAGUCGCGUGUGAAAGCCCCCGGCUCAACUGGGGAGGGUCACGCGAUACUGAUCGACUCGAAGGCAGGAGAGGGUAGUGGAAUUCCCGGUGUAGUGGUGAAAUGCGUAGAUAUCGGGAGGAACACCGGUGGCGAAGGCGGCCUUCUGGACGGAUACUGACGCUGAGACGCGAAAGCGUGGGGAGCAAACAGG
rnacentral:rRNA from 1 species